ensembl:lncRNA
CUGUAAAGCCACCACCCUCCCUUUCAUCACUUUCCCAUCUUUGCCACAAAUCCCUUCUCACCUAUAACACCCAGGCCUGCCCCUAUUUCCCCAGCACAGAUCUGCAAUUCCAUCUUUGAACGUGCCAGCUGCCCCUUUGCUUCUGUUACUGCUUUCCUAAAUGCUGCUACAGGCAGCUGGAUAAUGCUUCUCUCAUCUGGCCCUCUCCUCAAAAAUAAAACACCCUUCAGCUCUGGCUUCUGAGGAUAAAAAUGUUGGACAUAAGUACGUUUGUUUAGCAGCUUUACUUUGUUAAAGGAUAUUUUUUGAAAUCCUUUUCAAUGAGCAGUGCCUAUCUUAAGUUCACAGAAUCUUUCUGAUUUGUUUUGUUUUUUCUCUCCCAGACUGAAAUACAAAGGAAGAGGCCCAAUUCAAGUUGAUUUUCUGACGAGAAAUCUGGUAUUUGACUGUAUCCUGUAGACUAUAAGAGUAUGGGGGACAUUUAAAAGAUGGAUCUUGGUGUUAACAAAGGAUUCUAGAGGAGGCCAGCAGAUUUGGGCUAGAAGAAAGCACUUCAGGAAUGUGGUGUCUCUAAACGGUGUUUGAUCUUUAGUUGUAGCUGGACAAACGGUGUCGCCAAUUUGCGUGGAAAACCACGAACAGGAGCUCCUAAAAGCCUACAGAAAGAUUCUAUUUAGGUCAUUUUUUGAUGGAAGGGGAUGAGAAAAGGUCAUCUUUAGAAAUGUAACAAUUGCUCUGGAGUGCUUGAAGUUAUUUCCUCCUAGUAGCAUCUGGUUUUUUUUCUUUAUGAGUGGAAAACUCUGGAGUGAUACUACUACUGCCUGGAGCUCUGGCGUGUCAGUGAGGUAAAGGAGUCCAAAUAAACUGGCAGUUGUCAGACCCUGAUUCCAGUGACUGGGAUUUUAAAUGCCUGGGGGGGAAUAAAUAAAUAAAUACAUAAAUAAAUAUAUAUUUUUUAAUUGUAGCCUGUUUUGGCAAGAGGGAAAGUGAACAGGUCAGAGUCUGUUUCUCAUAUCAUUGAGGAGGUAUUUGAGACCCGGCCUUCUGCUGAGAUGGAAGGGAAGUUUCUGCACAAUUAAAAGGGUUUGUUACGUCCACGUAAAAUCUGCAGCCCUCCUUUGAUGUAAGAAGCUUUAUACUGCUUCUAUCUGCAAUUCUGUGUAGUCAAGGGAGCUCUGCCCUUUAGCAGUCAAAGGGGAUUACUUUCUGGGAUGAACUCUGAAGGUCAAAGUUAACAGUUCCUUGUUCUUUGGUUGCUGGAAUAUGUAGAUCUUGUUUGGGGCUGGAGGGAGAAGAGCAGUAUGGAUUGGCCGGUUCUGAUGUUCUUGUCCUUAGUGCAGCAGUCUCCUAUAUGAUGAAUUAAUUCUUGCAAGUACUUUUACUUAUUCCUUAAUAAUUUGAAUGCAAAGCAAUAGUAUGGAGAGUUACUUCUAGCAGACUGCAUCUUGCAAGUUGAAAAUGAUUUGCUGAUGUUCACACUUAAUUUUUAUAUUCAGGUCCAGUAUCUCUCCAGUGGACCUGUGAGAAUAAUGGGGAAAUGCCGCUUCCACUAAGCUUAGGAUGUGAGAAUUAACUUUAUUCUCUUCCACUCCUUUCCAUUUUUAUAGAGUUUUAUGUUAUUGUUUUCAGCUGAGUAUUUGAGAACCUAAUGGUGCUUUAAACUCGGGAGGCUUUUUCACCUUACCCCUGCAACUAACUGGGAGAGAGCUGCAAACAGCACAGGUUCUUGUGUGCAGCAUAGGUAGGGCUGUAGGCAGGUGUUCUCUGGCUUUAGUUUGUUCAUUUGAAAAUGAGGGGCACUACUUUGUGUAAGUCAGGGAAAGCAAAGUGACAAAAUGUUACUUGGCAGAAGGUGAUUUAUUUGGCGUAACUCAGAUAAUAGUUUGUGCAGCACCCUCAGCACUGUCCAUUGAGAAAUUUCUCUCCUGUGCAUAUGCAACCACUCAAUCCCUUUGUGCAGCACUAAGCUGAGUUACAGUACCUGAAAUUUCAAAUGAGAAAGGAAUCUUGCUGUCAGACUGACUCUGCCGUGCUGCUGAUACAAAGGGCUGUGGGAGGCGAGUAGGAACACCAAAGUGCCUUCAAUUGUUACCAGAUAGCUGUUCACAGAAAGGUCUUCCCAGAGUUUGCUGCAUAGAAAGCACAACCCACGCAUCAUUGUUGUUCAUUCGUUCAGUUUAAGAGGCUUGUUUUUCUCAGAUGUGCUCUUCCUGUUUGGCAUUUGUAGCUUAGGAUUGUCGAGAUUUUCAGCUGAUUCACGAACCUCAUUUGUUACCUACGGCGUAAGAAGGAAUAUGGCUGAGUGUGAAAUGUAGGUUAAGCUGUAUUUUCACCCCAAUACAUUAUACUACUCUGGAAGAGUAAAAAUAAUGAAUUCUUAAUUGGGAGUUAUACAAAAAUUUCGGGACCAUUUUUAUCUCAAAAUGGGUAAAGCAAUUAAAAGACAGUGGUGAUGACUCCACAUUAGCCUCUCUUACUCAUAUGUAGCCUAUAUAGAGAGAGACUGUAAAAUAAUUAACCAAAAUUACAUGGCAAAUGAGGUAAGCAAUCAGUAAAUUUCAGUAGGCUUUUGUGCCAGAAAAUUUGCCAGACAUGCUUGGAAAAGGUGGUAAAGCUUGGGAGAAGGGGAGGAAGUUAAUUACAUCAGAAUAAUUAGACUAAUCUUGGAAGUUUGGAUAUCUAAGUUAAGGCUACAGCCAAGUAGAAUGAUCACAGAUAAGCAGCUGUUUAUUGUUGUUCCAGGGAAGAAUUAUCAGAUCAAGUUAUUUCUGCCUAAAUUUUCUUCAGCGUACAAGUAUCAUCUCAUUUCUAGCUUUAAUAAAGACAUCUAAAAAAAAAGUAAUAAUACUUAUUAAAAAAAUUAUUUUAAAUUCUUUGUAUGAAAGUGUAACUGAAAACAGUUCUGAAUUGUCAAGUCUGAUUUGACAAAGCAGCAUCCUUUCUGCAAGUGGAUUAAAUGGUCUCUCUGACAGUCCCAUUCACAUCUGUAUCUAGGAGUCCCCUCCCUAGGAAUUCAUGUUCUUCUGAAACAACAUUAAGCAUGAAUCUGCUUACUCUCCAGCAGGCUAUCGUGGCUUAGACCUCUUUAGAUCAGUGACUUUUAAAUGGUAGGGAUAUUUUUUUAAUCCAUACAAAUUACAUUAAGAAUUGAUCCGCAUAGAGAAAAUGCUCACAACUAAAACAAAAAAGCCAAACAGCAGAUUUGCACAUAGAAUAAAUUUUGAGGGCAGUUUUGCUUCAGAGUGAGAACACAAUGCAUUGCCUUUGAAAAUCACUUCAUUAGGUCAAAUGUAAAAUAAUUAUUCUGGAUUAUUUAACUGGCUUUUCAUGUUCAGUGUUUAAUGUGAGUUUUGCUUCUUUUAAAACUGAAUAUUGAAGAUCUGAUUUAUUCUAUGUGAGUAUUGUGAACACAUGGGAGAGAAAUAUCCAAAUGGGAA